GAUUUACCAUUCUGCCACCGAAUACAUUAGCAUGGGAUAAUGGAAUAGGACCCUGUCCUCCUAUUUACGUCGUUGGUUUUUGAGGACCAGGGUAAUGAUUAAUAGGGAUAGUUGGGGGCAUUAAUAUUUAAUUGUCAGAGGUGAAAUUCUUGGAUUUAUGAAAGAUUAACUUCUGCGAAAGCAUCUGCCAAGGAUGUUUUCAUUAAUCAAGAACGAAAGUUAGGGGAUCGAAGACGAUCAGAUACCGUCGUAGUCUUAACCAUAAACGAUGCCGACCAGCGAUUAGGAGACGUUGAAUACAAAACACCACCAUUAACGCGAUCGUUUUUUGCAAAUAUUGCCACAUACGCAAGUGUGUGGUUGUGUUUGGAGGAACGAUUUGUCUUAAUGGCCCGGUGAAUGACUCCCCUAGACCUGGGGGGAGAAAAA
rnacentral:rRNA from 1 species